rnacentral:rRNA from 1 species
CAACCCUCAAGCUUCGCUUGGUGUUGGGGCACUACGGUUGACGUAGGCCCUCAAAAGUAGUGGCGGACCCUCCCGGAGCCUCCUUUGCGUAGUAACUAACGUCUCGCAUCGGGAUCCGGAGGGACUCUUGCCGUAAAACCCCCUAACUUUUAACUGG